CUUGCAUGAGAAUAAGGAGGAAACUGGAGCUUCACCCAGCCAAGAGCUGGAUGAAGCCUCGUCUCCAUGACAGCGAAGGACACGCAGCCCUUCAGUAUUGUGGAUGAUUCAGGGCAUUUGUGUCCAAACUGGAUCCUCAUCAUGUUCUCCCUACAAGGCAGGCUCUGCAGGCCGUGGUGGAGGCUGAGUAGGAGUCAGCUAAGGAGAAGGCUAAAGUGGAAAAGGUGGCUGCUGUUAGCCUUACUUCUGACAUGUGGACAUCCAUCAGUAUGGAUGCCUACCUGGCUGUAAGGUGCCACUUUGUGGGGGAGAAAACCACACUGGGUUCAGUGCUUCCCCCGAUCACACACUGCUGAACAUGUAGCUCGUGUGAAAGCCUCCCUGAUGGAGGAAUGGGGAAUCGAUCAUAAGGUGACGUGUGUGGUCACUGAUGGUGCUCCCAAUAUGGUUUCCUGUGUGAGAGCUGAAGCUUCGCCACCAUAUUGGAUGCUGCAGCGUUUGGUGGAGCAAAGGGAGCCAGUAGGAGCAACAUGACAUCACCUUCCUAACAGCAGAAGGGUUCCACAUUGUUGGAGGGUGCCUUUCUUUGCUGUCUCCCUUCUAUGAUCCACUGUAGAGCCGUCGGCAGAGGACAAUGUGUCUGUCUCCAAAGUCGUCCC